rfam:Schistosoma mansoni, Puerto Rico, WGS project CABG01000000 data, contig: 0148
ACCCAGCUGACGAGUCCCAAAGAGGACGAAACGCGCGUCCUGGAU